GUCAUGUGAGAUUGUUGCCUCCAUAAGGGGGGAACAGAGAAAAUGUAUUGAAUGUAUUUUUCUUGUGUGUUUUGCAAUUUUGAUUUUAUUGUUAAAUUAAUGUAUUACCCGGUAAUGUCAUUAAUUGGGGGGAAAUUGUAGUAAUGUGAGAUUUUUGCCUCCUGUGGCUGGACCUGGCUAUUGUUCAGGCAGGCUAUUGUUCAGUGUGCACUCAGGCCUCUCUUGCAAUGGCUUGAGUGCACGCUGGACAAUGACCUGGGCUUGGGUUCAGUUGCAGGAGGUGACAGCUUUCACAUUACUGGAGAAGACAUUACUGCAGAGAAGUCACAAGUGGUGCACGUGCAUAGUGGGCAAUUGAGUUACAUGACCACAAAGACUGUAUUGUACAAGGGCGUACGUUGAAGUCAAGCCUUUUUUUUAUAUAGUGUGGGCGGUGAGUCUUAUUGGUUUUUAAUUUGUAUUAAAAAAGAUAUUGUUUGCAUUAUGUAUUGAAUGAAUCUGUUGUUACUUUUUACACUUCAACUGUAAUUUAGGUUUUGCUUAAGUGAUGUAAGGCAUUAUAUUGUGAAAUGAAAAUAAUAGUGAUGAUUAUUUAGUUGAUACAAUGUUUGAAGCUGGUCUAUAAUGGACUUAUUUACUGAACACCUUCUUUGUUGCUGAUACAGAUCAUGAAGUAUAUAAUUAUGUCAUUGGUUAUUUGAAUAUUAUGAUGUUUUUUAAUCUACAUUUGUUUUUACUCUUGUGUUUCUACAGGGGCUGUUUUGUUGCCUUCAAAAUAAAAUAACUAAACAUCAA